UACGAAGGGGGCUAGCGUUGUUCGGAAUUACUGGGCGUAAAGCGCACGUAGGCGGAUAUUUAAGUCAGGGGUGAAAUCCCGCAGCUCAACUGCGGAACUGCCUUUGAUACUGGGUAUCUUGAGUAUGGAAGAGGUUAGUGGAAUUGCGAGUGUAGAGGUGAAAUUCGUAGAUAUCCGGAGGAACACCGGUGGCGAAGGCGGCUUCCUGGACCGACACUGACGCUGAGGCGCGAAAGCUAGGGGAGCAAACGGG
rnacentral:rRNA from 1 species